CCUGGCUCACGAUGAACGCUGGCGGUAUGCUUAACACAUGCAAGUCGAACGGUGUCUUCGGACACAGUGGCGGACGGGUGAGUAACGCGUGAGAAUCUGGCUUCAGGUCUGGGACAACCACUGGAAACGGUGGCUAAUACCGGAUGUGCCGAGAGGUGAAAGGUUAACUGCCUGAAGAUGAGCUCGCGUCUGAUUAGCUAGUUGGAAGUGUAAUGGACUCCCAAGGCGACGAUCAGUAGCUGGUCUGAGAGGACGAUCAGCCACACUGGGACUGAGACACGGCCCAGACUCCUACGGGAGGCAGCAGUGGGGAAUUUUCCGCAAUGGGCGAAAGCCUGACGGAGCAAUACCGCGUGAGGGAGGAAGGCUCUUGGGUCGUAAACCUCUUUUCUCAGGGAAGAACACAAUGACGGUACCUGAGGAAUAAGCAUCGGCUAACUCCGUGCCAGCAGCCGCGGUAAUACGGAGGAUGCAAGCGUUAUCCGGAAUGAUUGGGCGUAAAGCGUCCGCAGGUGGCUGUGUAAGUCUGCUGUUAAAGAGUCUAGCUCAACUAGAUAAGAGCAGUGGAAACUACACGGCUAGAGUGCGUUCGGGGCAGAGGGAAUUCCUGGUGUAGCGGUGAAAUGCGUAGAGAUCAGGAAGAACACCGGUGGCGAAGGCGCUCUGCUAGGCCGCAACUGACACUGAGGGACGAAAGCUAGGGGAGCGAAUGGGAUUAGAUACCCCAGUAGUCCUAGCCGUAAACGAUGGAUACUAGGCGUGGCUUGUAUCGACCCGAGCCGUGCCGUAGCUAACGCGUUAAGUAUCCCGCCUGGGGAGUACGCCGGCAACGGUGAAACUCAAAGGAAUUGACGGGGGCCCGCACAAGCGGUGGAGUAUGUGGUUUAAUUCGAUGCAACGCGAAGAACCUUACCAAGGCUUGACAUGUCGCGAAUCUUCUUGAAAGGGAAGAGUGCCUUCGGGAGCGCGAACACAGGUGGUGCAUGGCUGUCGUCAGCUCGUGUCGUGAGAUGUUGGGUUAAGUCCCGCAACGAGCGCAACCCUCGUUUUUAGUUGCCAGCAUUAAGUUGGGCACUCUAGAGAGACUGCCGGUGACAAACCGGAGGAAGGUGGGGAUGACGUCAAGUCAGCAUGCCCCUUACGCCUUGGGCUACACACGUACUACAAUGCUCCGGACAGAGGGCAGCAAGCAUGCGAAUGCAAGCAAAUCCCGUAAACCGGAGCUCAGUUCAGAUCGCAGGCUGCAACUCGCCUGCGUGAAGGAGGAAUCGCUAGUAAUUGCAGGUCAGCAUACUGCAGUGAAUUCGUUCCCGGGCCUUGUACACACCGCCCGUCACACCAUGGAAGCUGGUAGUGCCCGAAGUCAUUACUCCAACCUUUCGGGGGGGAGGAUGCCUAAGGCAGGACUGGUGACUGGGGUGAAG
rnacentral:rRNA from 1 species